GGCGGGGUAGCUCAGUUGGUUAGAGCAGAGGAAUCAUAAUCCUUGUGUCGAGAGUUCGAAUCUCCCCCUCGCUACCA
rnacentral:tRNA from 2 species